GGAAAUUAUUUUGAAUAUGUUUUGAAACCACAAUUGACAUGGCAAUGUGAUUUGUGCUCCUCAUUAGCUUGCCUAGUGAGAUGAUAUUUGAUGUGAUCUCCUCCACUUGUGGGGUUGAGCUUCCCUUUCUGGCUUGUCAAUUGAGGUUGAUUCAGAUAAGUACUUAUUAGCUAGCUAGCCUUUGGUGCCUCCCUUUAACCUCGGUUACUAGGGGGAGUGUGCUUUGUCGUGGUAUACAAUACG
rnacentral:misc_RNA from 1 species